AAAAAAAGAAAAAAAAAACUGCUUUAUUUCUGUUCCGAUUCAUUUUGUUCACUCAUAUAAGCCAAUAAAUCCAUUGCUUCGAGUAUGACAUUAAUAAUUCUCAGCAAUUUGUGUGGUGAACCAUAGCCUUCAAUAGAGUUAUCUUAGCCAGUAAUUCAGGACAAACUCCUAGUCUGUGAUGAUCGAAGUAAUUUUACAUUGCAUGUUGAUGAGUUUGAUGACAUCUAACUUACAAGGUCAGAAUAAUUGUAAAAACAAUAUUUGUGAUAGACAGGAGCUUUAGAAGAUUUUUUAGCAAACAGAACAGGUGCCAACCCAUAUAAGACAAAAACUAUCUACGACGCAAAAAUUCAGAGAAUUUUUAAGGCAGCCUGUGCAUCCUCAAAUUGCUGCCUCCUGAAUGAAAAUUUUACUUUAUUAAGCCACUUUUCUUUUAGAGCCAAGAAAGAACUCUUCCCCCUCAACUUAUCUUCUCCUUUUUCUUUAUAAAAUCUGAAUAUCAAAUAGCGGAAUUAAAUGCAAGAAAUUUUCUCUGUACAGAAAUAUAUGCCUCUCAAACCCUGCAAGCCUACAAUUGAUUUUCAAUCAACUCUGUGGCCACCCAUGAAUUUCCUAUUAAAGAAUGAACUAGUUUCCAAAGUUAUCUUGGUCAAUACACCUCAGUAGUUUGUGUUGCAUCAACUCAGUUUUGUCUUUACUAUGACAACAUAUAUUGAAUAUGAUAUGCCCUCUUUUUUGGAAUUUGUCAAUGCUCAAGAAGCUUCCCAAAUAGAAAUAAGUUAACCUCAAAGUAGUAAGAUUGUUCCAACUCAACUUUCAUCACUAGGGUCAUCUUUUUUGACCAGCCCAAUCAUAGGACUUCACAUAAAGUAAAUUCCUUUUCUGUUGACCUUUCAUCUAUUUCUAUCUUUUUGCAUAUAUGUAACCACACUAUAUGACAAGCUAUGAGAUUUGGAGGAAGUCUAUGAUUUCCAAUCUUGGGCAUUCCUGACAGAACUAGUACCCAAGACGUGACAUCAGUAGAGAAUGGAACACAAUCACUCUAUAUGUAGGUAACAACAUAGAUGUUAAGAUAUUGGGAUUUCUAAUUGGAAAUUUUGAAGCUGAAAAACAGAAACUUUCUGAUCAAGGAAGGCAAUUUCAUUUCAGUUGAUUUUCCCUUACAAUACAUUAAUUAAGUGUAAAUUUUUUAUUCCUCAGAGGCAGGACAUUGGUUUACCUGCUGUUUUAAUCAAUAUUUUGCAGAUUGCUUUAUCUUCCUGGUGCUAUUAUUGCUGGUUUACUUGGUUUCAUGCUCGACUUUCCGCUUAUUUCACUUAUUGCCCUCUGCAAAAGUCCGUACAUGCUCUUUAAGGGAUGGCAUCGUCUGUUUCAUGAUCUUAUAGGAAGGGAAGGCCCUUUCUUGGAGACAAUAUGUGUGCCAUUUGCAGGUCUUGCUAUUCUUCUUUGGCCAUUGGCUGUUGUUGGGGCAGUUUUGGGCUCCAUGUUAUCCAGUAUCUUCAUUGGUGCUUAUGCAGGAGUGGUAGUUUAUCAGGUCAAAAAUCUUAUUUUCAUAGUGGUUUUAGUUUGUUUGCUGCAUUUCUUUUAUCUUUUUAGUUUCUAGGUGUGACUGGGCUUUGGGCUCUGGAUUGCAGGAAUCCUCAUUUUGGUUUGGGCUUUGCUAUAUUGUU
rnacentral:misc_RNA from 1 species